GACGAACGCUGGCGGCGUGCUUAACACAUGCAAGUCGAACGGAAAGGCCCUGCUUUUGUGGGGUGCUCGAGUGGCGAACGGGUGAGUAACACGUGAGUAACCUGCCCUUGACUUUGGGAUAACUUCAGGAAACUGGGGCUAAUACCGGAUAGGAGCUCCUGCUGCAUGGUGGGGGUUGGAAAGUUUCGGCGGUUGGGGAUGGACUCGCGGCUUAUCAGCUUGUUGGUGGGGUAGUGGCUUACCAAGGCUUUGACGGGUAGCCGGCCUGAGAGGGUGACCGGCCACAUUGGGACUGAGAUACGGCCCAGACUCCUACGGGAGGCAGCAGUGGGGAAUAUUGCACAAGGGGCGGAAGCCUGAUGCAGCAACGCCGCGUGCGGGAUGACGGCCUUCGGGUUGUAAACCGCUUUCGCCUGGGACGAAGCGUGAGUGACGGUAAUGGGUAAAGAAGCACCGGCUAACUACG
rnacentral:rRNA from 1 species